ACACCAGCCGCAUACAGUACAACAACAUGGGGAUGCGAAACUGAAAAACAUUUCGGAGCAAAGCGGGUUUAACGCAAUAACGACCAAAAUGUUACUUUUCACUGCAAAUGGAUCACGUCAGUCCAGGAUUGUUCAUUGAUUUUCGUCUCACAGACUCUCUGGAAGAUCAGGGAUGGCCAAUGUGUCACAUUUGGGAGUUUUGCUUUUUGUUGGAAUAACAGCUGCGAUGGCAAACUAUUUGUUAUCCACUCAACUUGUGAAAAACCCUACACAAUAUUUAAUGGGCAAAUCAUCCAGCGUGAGUCCAACACAGUUGAGUGACUCUGAUAAUAAAGUAUCAUGUUAUAUGUGCCAACGGAGGAGAGCCAAGAGAUGCACGUGUUACACGUACAAAGACAAGGAGUGUGUUUACUACUGUCACUUGGACAUCAUCUGGAUCAAUACACCAGAGCACACUGUCCUGUAUGGCAUAUCAAGUUAUAGGGGCUUCCAGCGGACACGCCGUUCUGCUGAGGGCAGCAGAGGAGGUCGACGGUGUGCUUGUGCCUUGCAGCAUGACCCAGAAUGUACUGCUUUUUGCAGAGAGAGGGCAUGUACAUCUAGGAUGCGAUCUAUCCAGAUGAGAUUCUCUCCAAUGCCAGGAAACCGACAGUGGAAGACACGAGCUAGCACUUCUUCCCCCACAUUGCCUCAGGCUUUUGAGAUACCCACUUAUAACUGCUUCUCCCCCCUAUGUUGGGAUCACCGGGGCCUCCAUCGCCCGGCAUGUACACGCUACAUCAGGUGUAGGUAAGACGCACACUCGCUGCUUCCCUGGUGCUUGUGUUCUCAAUGUUUCUGUGCAGGUGCCUGGGAUAAUGAAGACAAUUUGGCUUGUCAUGUUACACGCCAGGUGAACAACAUCAGAGUGCGGCAGUCAGAGAUCCUAAAGAAGGACUCCAUAUGUUUAGUCGAGACAGUACGCCGUACAUCUCUUACGACAAGGAUAUUUGUUUCAGGACCGCUUUCCCGAUACUGACAAGGACAUUUAACUCUUUCCCCGCCAUUGACGAGAUAUCUCGUCAAUUUAGAGAAAACGCUUCCCCGCCAAUGACGAGUUUUUUUUGUCUUUCCGCAAUACCGCUAUUUUCCACCAGGUGGCAACUCCGCAACUUUUUAAAACCGGAAGUAUUGCCCUAUGGCAAGCUGCUGCAUGUCCGUGUCUGUUCUAAAGAUCGCUCUGAAUGGGAUCUCUAUGAAAAGUCCGUCACAAAUAUGGAAUUAUUUUUGCUUUUUGCUCAAAAUAUGGUGUUUUUGCAAAAACCUACCCAUAUUCAAAAGCUGAUUGCAAAAGAACCACUAAAGGUAGGAUGAAACGUUUUUUUUUGUUUGAAAGCAGAGGGUCUGUUCUUUCAUUUGGUAUAUUGUAUGUUUAUUUAUUUAAAGAAGAACAUUUUCUGGAAGGCAUUAAACUUUGGUGAAAAUCAUGAAAAACGCUGGCGCUGGCUGGCAACUUUUUUUAAAAACGCUGGCGGUGAAAGAGUUAAGGUUCAAUGGACAACUUGCUUUCAAUGAAUGGUUAAUGUCUGUAGCCCUUUUCACACACAUAUGGAAAAAAUACAGAGUACACAUCUGGGAGUUGUUUGGGAUUAUUUUAUUUUGGUUAAUUCACGCUGCCAAUAGUUUUCUGGAUUUGUUUGUGCUUUCACACACAUGCCAUAAAGACAUGACAUAUUUAAAGUCUUGCACUUGGUAGGUUUUUUGUAGUAUCUUUAGUUUGCUUAUCCGUGAUUUCUCUCUCGAGAAACCACAUGUGUAUUUUUUUGUUUAUGAUAAGAUCAUAAAGGAGUGCGUUACACCAGUGCUUCCCAAUCCUGGUCUUCGAGCACCCCCUCCCAAAAAGUUUUAGAUGUCUCCUUAUUUAACUUAUCAGCUUGUUGGGGAGACAUGUUUACCAUUUUGGAAGGAGGCUGAUAAGUUGAAUCAGGUGUUUUAAAUAAGUUUUUGGGAGGGGGUGCUCGAGGACCAGGAUUGGGAAGCACUGCAUUACACGCUGUUUUGUUAUGCUGGUGAAUGUUCAUAGCUGAUAGUGACGAGCCCCCUGAUUUCUUCUUCAAUCCAGUUUGCAGAUAUUUCUCAUUGUGAAUGUUAAUCUGCAUUUAAAUCUGCCAUGUCAAAGGGGAAAAGGCUAUAUUUUUGUCGUGAUGACACAAUAUUUAUGUUGACUAAUUACCGACAUUGAAAUUGACACCGCCGAUUCUAUCGACCAAACGCAACAGCUCUAAGUCUAGCAUACACAUAAUUGCAUUCAAAAACCUUUGCCUCAGGUUAUAAAUAACUUAUUACACGGCUCUCUGGAAUGCUUGAUUCUGAUGGGUCAGUUGAGACAUUUGCAGGUUCGUUCUUUUCAAAUAAUAACCGCUCCAAAAUAAUAACGCAUAGCCGGACUACUUGCACGAGUAAAAUCGCUCCGCGCCAAUAAAGAUCAAUAAAGAUUACUGUCUGUUUGGCGCCAUCUUGUGACAAACACUCGACAACCACGACAAGACACAGAGAGCUUACUGAGACUGAACUUGACAAAAUAGAGCAUGACAGCUACGAAGCCAACACACAAAAAAAGACAGAAUGGGCAUUAAAACUUCUCAAAGACUGGCUAAAAGAGAAAAAAUGGAGACAGACAAUGAAGCAGAGGAUCUUAAUAAGGUAUUACGAUCAUUUUAUGCAUCUGUGCAAAGUUUCGCGGAAGGAUAAAAAUGUUAAUUUAAAACAAAUAUGCCAAUAAAAUGUUUCAAAUUCAUAUUCAUGUCCAGUUUUUUUUCUUAUGUGGCAAGUAGCCGUGUAAUAAGCGAGAUCAUGUCAUCUUCCCCUCGCUUAAAUGUUUACAUUAACAGAAUUUUUUUUACCAGGGGUGCCCAAACUUGUGCAUGUCACUGUACUGAUAUAUACUAUACAAAUAAUGUAAGUUGAAUUUACUUAUUUGAAAUACAUUAUACAAAGCACUACACUGCAAUGUUGUUUUUAACGUUUGUGCGUAAUAUAUUAUUUUUUGUCUUUUUCAUUCAUUAGAUUUUCAGUAGUCCGUGUCAAAUUUUAUUUCAAAGUAAGAUAGCUUUACAUGUCUUUCAUUGUGCUUCACAGGCCCUGUUUAUGUUCUUAACCGGCAUAAGUUUAUUUAUUGUGAUAUACACAAAACAAGAUAUUUUGAUAAAUGAUGUUAAGUACACAGCUGCUCAUUUACUUCAAUAAAAUGUCUUUUUCCUAUUAUGGAAGUCAAUGGGUACCAUCAACUGUAUGAUUGACAUCAUUUAUCAGAUUAAAGAAUUUUUGGCAAGUUUAUAACAACAUGAAGUGUUUGGGUGAGAUCUAGACCGAGGACUAAGGCGUAUACUAGGACAGAACUAAGUGUUGUGGCCCACAG